CAGGGUCUCACUGUGUUAGCCAGGAUGGUCUCGAUCUCCUGACCUUGUGAUCCGCCCGCCUCGGCCUCCCAAAUUGCUGGGAUUAUAGGCGUGAGCCACCGCGCCCGGCCCCAACAGAUUUUUAAAGAUGGUCUUUUCCCAAUUUGUGGAAAUGUUUUAACAGAAUGCUCUCAAUAUUUUUCGCCCAUGUGAUUCUUAGAUUCAUGUGAAUCUAACACAACGUAUCUGAUACUGUUCCCAACAGGAACCAGGGUGGCAGGGCUAGAUGUCCUCUCACCAGACUGCCCAGUGAAGGUGCUGUCACUUUGAUGAAUUAUCAAGGCUUUGUAGUGGGUCUUCUACUGGACAAAGGACAAACUGGAGACUCCCUGGAUCAAAUGUGUUGAAAAUGUUAUAGUGCUGUCAGGAAGUGCUGUUCUGGAAUACAGAAUGUGGCUGCCGUGAGUGGAGUGUGACUAUGAGAUAGUCGCCUGACUGGAGACAAUGAAGCCUCAGGCCAAGGAUGCUCCCUCCUACUCAGCCCUGUUUAGUGGGAUUUUUCAGCCCACUGUAAAGCCUACUGCUGCCUGUAAAGCCACCUAAGUGCAUCACUUGCUGGUGUUCACCAUGAUAACAACAAUUUAUGGGGACAGAAUAUGUUUCUAGAGCUGCUGGUGCCACUGCUGAUGUUACUGGGUUCCCUGAAAUAAAACACCACAGUGCAGGUGAGUACCAAAGUGGGGAGAAUUUUUAGUUCCUUUUAGAGGUGCUAAAUCAAUAUUGUUGAUUUCCCAGUACCUUAGAAUAUUUAAUGAAAACAGGUCAGGUGCAGUGGCUCACGCCUGUAAUCCCAGCACUUUGGGAGGCCAAGGCAGGUAGAUCACUUGAGGUCAGGAGUUCAAGAACAGCCUGGCCAACAUGGUGAAACCCCAUCUCUACUAAAAAUACAAAAAUUAGCAGGGCGUGGUGGCAGGCACCUGUAAUCCCAGCUACUCCGGAAGCUGAGGCACCAGAAUCGCUUGAACUCAGGAGGCGGAGGUUGUAGUGAGUCGAGAUCAUGCCACUGCACUCCAGCCUGGGCGCAUGGUGGCUCAUGCCUAUAAUCCCAGCACUUUGGGAGGCUGAGGCAGUCAGAUCACUUGAGGUCAGGAGUUCAAGAACAGCCUGACCAACAUGGUGAAACCCCAUCUCUACUAAAAAUAGAAAAAGUUAGCCAGGCGUGGUGGCAGGCGCCUGUAAUCCCAGCUACUCAGGAGGCUGAGGCAUAAGAAUCCUUGAACCCAGGAGGCGGAGGUUGCAGUGAGCUGAGAUUGCACCAUUGCACUCCAGCCUGGGCAACAAUAGCGAAACUCCGUCUCAAAACAAACAAACAAACAAAACAAAAAAACUUAAUGAAUACAGUCCCUCCUAAGAUUUUCAAAUAAAUGAAAUACCACAUUAAUCAUAUUGUUUUAUUUUUAUCAUUACAUUAAAAAUCAAAUAGUAUCACUAGGUUUAUAAUGAAAAACAGCAGACCCUGUCCCAGCCCUCCACACUCUCAGUUUCUACUCCCUAGAUAUAAUCUCUAUUCACCCAGCUACCUCUUCUGGUAUUUAUCUCCGUAUUUCUAAAUAGCAUGCUUAUACUACUAAUUCUUAAUUUUUCAGUUUGGGCCAUUAUUUUACUUUUUCUAUAGGAAAUAAGAUAUGUGUUUAUACUCUGAAGACUGGUAAUACACACAUGUAUUUCUCCAUCUUCCAUCCUUCAGUUUAUCUAUAUCACCCUAUAUAGGUAGAGUACUAUUCAUUAUACUAUUAUAAAGGUAUGUAAUUGAUCCAGUUAGCAUAAUAUGAUUAUAUUUCCUUUAUUUUGAUUGAAGUUAACUAUUGCCUCUUUCUCCAUGCAACUUUCUUAAGUACCUAGCAUUCAAGUGUCUAUAAUCAAUUUAUUCCAAACUGUCCUUUCAAAACAUUGAAACACAUCAAGUAGUCUAUCAAUCAGUUUAUUUUUUAAAUUGGAGACAACUCUCUAGGAGCCCAUCAUCCUCCUUCACUGUGGACUAGUUUUUCUCUAAGCCUACUGCACAGCUUUUGUCCUGAAAUAAUUUUAUCCUUUCUACCCUGUUUUCCACUUCUUUUUGUUUUUCUGAAAGAUUUCCACCUUCCAGCUUUUCUUUUGAAUUUUAAAAUUUCUGUUAUGUUUUAAAUUUGCCAGAAUACUUUCUUGUCAACCUCUCUUUUAAUUAAAAAUAUUUUUUAUUUUUGUAAUUUAAAGGUUUAUUGUAAAUUGACAAGUACAAAUUGGAUAUAUUUAUGGGGUACAAAGUGAUGUUAUAUGUAUACAAUGUGGAAAGAUUAAAUCAAGCUAAUUAACAUAUCCAUCACUACAAAUACUUCUUUGUGGUGAGAAUACUUGACAUUUACCUUCAGCAAUUUUGAAAUAUACAGUACAUUAUUAUUAACCAUGCUAUACUCUUUAUCUCAAAAAAUGUAUUCCCUUUAUCUAACUGAAACUUCGUACUCUAACCAACAUCUCCUUGUUUCCCCUACCACCCCUUCCCCCUACUCUCUGAUAACCAUCAUUCUACUCUGAUUCUGUGAGUUUGUUUUAGAUUCUACAUUAGGAAUCAUGUGACUUUGUCUGUCUGUGCCUGGCUUAUUCCAUUCAGCAUAACGUCCUCCAGGGAAGCACUUUCUUGUCCACCCCCUUCCCCUUUUUAAAUAGCAGUCUGUUCCAUUUGGUGGAUGCAGUAUCUUAUUACUCUAAGAAUAUUGCUAAUGUUUUCUUUUGUUUCUUGAAUUGUCUGUGUUGAAUUUUUAAGGCUUGUUUCUGUUUUGUGUUGGAAGCUUUUCUUAAACGUCUAGAGAUCCUUGGCCAUCCAUUCAUAUGUAAGAGUGGGGCACUAGAAAGCCAAUAGAAAGUUCUGUGUACACUGGCCAGUGAGGUGGCUCACACCUGUAACCCCAGCACUUUGGAAGGCCAAGGCAGGCAGAUCACUUGAGGUCAGGAGUUCAAGACCAGCCUUGCCAACAUGGUGAAACCCCAUCUCUACUAAAAAUACAAAAAUUAGCCGGGCUGGUGGCGCACGCCUGUAAUCCUUGCUACUUGGGAGGCUGAGGCUUGAGAAUCUCUUGAACCCGGGAGGCAGAGGUUGCAGUGAGCUCUCCAGCCUAGGCAACAGACCAAAACUCUGUCUCAAAAAAAAAAAAAGUUCUGUGUACAUACUUAGGACUUGUAAUUGGUAGGACAUACUGCAGUAUUUUUCAAACUUCUGGUCGCAAACCCAUUAGUAGUUUGUGAAAUCAAUAUAAUCAGUUUUAUUUCCCCCAAAUGACAGAACAGAAUAGAAAACACCACCUCAGAAUACAUCUACAUAGAAAGAGAAUUAUUUUAUGAAACUUUGGUUUCUUACACAUAUCAUAUAUACAUAUUAUGUACUGGUUUGAUCCCAUAAAAUGGGAGUUUUUUUUUUUUAUUGUGGGUGUUUCUUCAAAGAAAUUUGAAAAAGUACAACUUAGGAUAAUCAAAGAGAUCUCCAACUGUCAGGACAGGUAGGUCUUUUCUCUUAGAGAGGUUAAGUUCCGGCCCAGUGCGGUGGCUCAUGCCUGUAAUCCCAGCACUUUGGGAGGCUGAGGCGGGCAGAUCAUGAGGUCGGGAGAUUGAGACCAUCCUGGCUAACAUGGUGAAACCUCAUCUCUUCUAAGAAUACAAAAAAUAAGUCAGGCAUGGUGGCACGCGCCUGUAAUCCCAGCUACUCGGGAGGCUGAGGCAGGAGAAUCAUUUGAACUCGGGAGGCGGAGAUUGCCACUGCACUCCAGCCUGGGCGACAGAGCAAGACUCCGUCUCAAAAAAAAAAAAAAAAAAACGGAGAUAAGUUCUCCUGGAGUAAAAUUCUCUAAACUUUUGCCUGCAUGCUAGUCUGAUAGACAGUACUCAUUCAUUCAGGUAUUGGUUGAGGACUUACUAUGUGCCAAACACUGUUCCAGGUUCUGGGUAUACAUCAGACAAAACUGUCUCCUGGGACUAGAUUCUAGUGAGGGAGAUAAACAGUGGGUUAUAUAGUAUUUAGAUCUUGCGCUAGGUAACACAGCAACAGAAGGGAAAGCUGAACAUAUGCAUAUAGAUGCUGGUAAGAGGGUGGAUGUGGUGGAUGAAUGAAGUAGAAAACAAGGUCAUCAUCUGAGAGUGAAAAUGGGGAGGAAGUGUUGGAAGAAAAGAGAAGGUGUGAAAUAAUUUAGGACACAGCACAGCAAACUAUAGCCUUUGGUCAAAUCCUAUUUUGGUGCAAUCCACAAGCUAAGGAUACUUUUUUACUUUUAAACGGUUGGGAAAAAAAUUUAAGAUGAUAUUACAUCAUAGCAUGUAACAAAUAAAUGCAAUUCAAAUUUCAUUUAUUUACAUAUUGCCUCUGGCUACUUUCAUGCUACAGUGACAAAGCUGAAUAAUUGCAAAAGAGACUAUGACCUGCUAUGCCAAAAAUAUUUAUCUGGCCCUUUACAGAAAAAGUUGGCUGACUCCUGAUCUAGGAGGAUGGGAAGGUAUAUAGAGUAGGGAAAUAUGAUUAUCAGGCAGCAUUAAGGCCUGAAGGUUAUGGACAUGAAUUUAAAGUAAGACUAAACAGCAUAGUUGCUGCACAGAAGUAGGUACAAAGGCAAAGAGCUGGCUUUAAAGUUGUGAUUUUGCAAACUGAAAAUGACAAAAAGGGGUAGACUAAGUUAAAAGUACAUGCAAGUUGCAUGAUUAUAAUGAGUGAUCCUGGGAUUUAAGUUGAUUAUGACAGGAACAGAAGGAACUUGGAGAUUAGGGACAAUGAAAAGGUGGUAGUGAAAGGAGUGUUGGAGUUAAGUUACUAGAUGUCUGGAAGACAGACUGUGGUGGUCAGAUAAUGAGAUAGAUUAUGGAGGGGUUACAGUUUUUGGUAAUAACGAGAGAGAUCUAAGGUAUGACUGAGAGUGAAUGGAUGAGAAUAGCAGAGAACAAGGUCAGUGGAAAACUACUCUUCAAAGAACCUAUAGUCAGGGUGUUGAAAGAUUAAAAAUUGCUAAGAAUUAAAUCAGGAGUAGUGCUGCGGGAAAUGAAAUGAGCAGUGAACUAAACUUACUGAGAAAUGAGAGGGGAUGACCCAGGGGUUUGUAGAUUUUGUAGAUGAUAGCAAUGAAGAGAAGAGAUAUUAUUUGAUGGUAUGGAACUCAAAGCUGAGAGUUUUAAGGGAAGAUAGGAGACGUGUCUAGAAGUAGUAAUGAGGAGCAAGAACAUCAUCUACCCCAUCUCCAGGACCAGUAAUAGGAGGACUGUGGGAGAAAAAAAUCACCUUGAGAGGGCUGUAGUGAAAGCAGUAUCCUAAGGUAGCAGCCAAGUUUCAGACUGCUGGGAUCCAAGCCAGGGAAAGGUUUCUGACUCUUUAGAAUGCUGAGCUUUAGGCUGGGCACAGUGGCUCACGCCUGUAAUCCCAGCACUCUGGGAGGCCAAGGUGGGCAGAUCACUUGAGUCCAGGAGUUCAAGACCAGCCCAGGCAACAUGGUGAAAUCCCAUCUCUACACAAAAUACAAAAAUUACCCAGGUUUGGUGGUUCAUGCCUGUAGUCCCAGCUACUCAAGAGACUGAGGUGGAGAAUCACUUGAGCCCAGGAGGUUGAGGCAGCAGCAAGCCAUGAUCACACCACUGUACUCCAGCCUGGGCAACAGAGUGAGACCCUGUCUCAAAAAAACAAACAGAAUGCUGAGUUUUAAAUCCCUAUAUUCAGUAGGAUGUCUCCCCUCAGCUCCCAGUUGUUGUUGGUGGCUUCAACUAGUUCAUCUUCCCCAGGAGAUAAUGAAUGAACAAAUGAAUGAAUGAAUGAAUGAGUUUAUAAGGGGCGAGGAUCUCAGGACUUCAUAGUCUUUCAAGUAAUCAUCUUGUUUUUAGCCCUCUACCUACUACCUCUUGCUUUUCAGAUAACUGAUGCCUCCAAUUCCUAAGCCUUUUCUGGGGUUCUGUGGUACAAACAUGCUUGCUUAUUGCUAGUAACACUCCACCAGCCCCUGCCCCAGACUUCUGCUUUCUCUGGUCUACUCAGUUUGUUCCUUGUUUUUUGCUUUCCGGAUUCAAAGAUUUUGUUGACAUUGCCUGGAUGCUGCCAUCUUUUGUCUCAUAUUCUUUGUCCUUAAUCAUUUAACAUUCCUUUACUGUCAUUUUAAUGGCAUUUCAGGAGGAAGCCAUGUUUCUAGUCCACCGUUCUUUUUUGUUGUUUUUGAGACAGAGUCUUACUCUGUCACCCAGGCUGGAGUGCAGUAGCAUGACCUCAGCUCACUGCAACCUCUGCCUCCCGGGUUCAAGCGAUCCUCCCACCUCAGCCUCCCGAGUAGCUGGGACCACAGGCAUGCGCCACUACAACUGGCUAAUUUUUGUAUUUGUAAGUAGAGAUGAGGUUUCUCCAUGUUGGCCAGGCUUGUCUUGAAUUCCUGGCCUCAAGUGAUCCACCCACCUCAGCCUUCUAAAGUGCUGGGAUUACAGGCAUGAGCCACCACACCGGGCCAAUCCACUGUUUUUUAAAAAGUUGUCAAGAGUUUUGUUAAGGGGUCAGACAUGUCUGACUGGUUGACUUUUCCCAGAAUGCUGCUUAGUCCCUCAAACACACAAAUUCCUGAUGGGUCCACCCACUAGGCUUCUGGUAUACACAGACAGAUCUGAAUCCCAGUGGUGGAAACAACCUAGGCUGAUUCUGAGUUUCCCACUGCAUUUCUUCUUCUAAUUGUCCCUCUUUUCCAUUCCUGUCCUUUCCCUCAUCCCUUACCUGCUGAAAAUGAAUCUUACCAUUUCUAAAAUUCCACUCUUCCGGGGGCAUCCACAGCUGGAUCCUCUUCUUCACUGCCAUUCCUCAGGCCUUAGAACAGGUCCCCUUCUUACACCCUUGUGCUCCAACUGGUCUUUAUGAAACCUGUUCACUUCAAUAUACUUUUAGGCCAGGCUCACGCCUGUAAUCCCAGCACCUUGAGAAGCUGAGGCCGGUGCAUCACUUGAGGUCAGGAGUUCGAGACCAGCCUGGCCAACAUGGUGAAACCCUAUCUCUACUAAAAAUACAAAUAUAUAUACAUAUGCCAGGCAUGGUGGCAUGUGCCUGUAGUCCCAGCUACUCAGGAGGCAGAGGCACGAGAAUCACUUGAAUCCAGGAGGCGGAGGUCGCAGUGAGCCGAGAUUGUGCCACUGCACUCCAGCUUGGGCAACAGAGCAAGACUCCGUCUCCAAAAUAUAUCUUAUCUAUAUAUAGAUAUAGAUAGGUAUAUAUAGAUCUAUAUAUAGAUAUAUACUUUCAAUUCUCCAAUUGUUCCCGUAUACCAUAGAGAAACUCUUAUGAGCUCAGUUUCUGCAGGACUUACAAAACAGGGUAAUUGCCUCCUCAUUAUGGUCAGCUCCAGCACCAUUCAAAUUCUCUGUCCUUACCCAUUUCCAGAACAAGCAGGAUGAAAAUCACUUAUCACUAUAGCACCCACCCUUAAGCACAAGGUUAUCCAAUGUUUUCAAGGAGUCCAGCAUUUCAUAACAGAACCCCCUGAUUAGUUUGCUAACUGAUGAAAGCAGAGUUAAAUUCCUGUUAUGCAGGUUUAGAGUACAGGAGAUUCUAUGUCCCCAUAUCCUCUGCCCCCCAAUCUAUCCCUUGGCAAACACAAGUACCUCUACUAGAAUAACCAUACUCCCUCUUCCCAACCCACUUCUCUUGUUUAAGGGCACUGGCAGUGUUUGUGUAUGUCAACAACAUCGGAGUAUCUGGGGUCCCUGGAGAGUUAGAUUUUCUGUAUUAAUUACAGACUGGGAGAUUACUCUGGCUCCAGUAAAAGCAAUACCAGGAUUGAAGUCCCCUCUCUGAUUAUGGUGGCUGGGAUUUGCUGGAAGAGGCAUAGGUCCAGAAAAGAAUGUAAAAAAGGUACUAGAAAGAAAGAAUAAGGCCUAUAGCCAUCAGGCUGCUAGAACCUUUGGACAAGUCACUAUCUAAAAGCAGGUAAAGACCCAGCUUUUUGUCCAUCUGGUCAGGCACCUGGUGGCGUGAGUCUUUCAGAACAUACUGGUCAGGCGGUGGCUCACGCCUGUAAUCUCAGCACUUUGGGAGGCUGAGGCAGGAGGAUCACUUGAGGUAAGGAGUUGGAGACCAGCCUGGCCAACAUGGUGAAACCCUGUCUCUACUAAAAAUACAAAAAUUAGCCAGGUGUGGUGGCGGGCAUAUGUAGUCCCAGCUACUUGGGAGGCUGAGGCAAGAGAAUCGCUUGAACCCAGGAGUCGGCAGUUGCAGUGAGCCGAGAUCACACCACUGCACUCCAGUCUGGAUGGUAAAGUGAGAACCCAUCUCAAAAAAAAAAAGGAACAUACCACAACCCUUCAAUAAAAAGGUCUCUGAGAAAACAGUUGUCACAAUGUCCAUGUACUUGUACUUGACACCAUGUGAGAAACAGCCUCCAGUAGGUCACUGGCCAGACAGGUGAGUAUGAAAUAGGACAACACUGUAUUAUAGCUCAGGAUGCAUUGAUAAUAGAAGUUUGAAGCAGCAGCUGACAGACGAGUCUAAGCAAUAACACACAGACUAGUUUGUCUCUGCUCUUGAGAACAGCAGCCUGCAACCCUUCAAACAAGCCAUAAUGUGUGAGUCAACAAGAAGCUACAUUUGAUUGACAAUGCCAUUUUAAUAAAGAUGUUCUAGAGUCAAAGAAUUUGGCGUGAGAAAUUGUGCCCAGGCUGGGGUGCAGUGGUGUGAUCAUAGCUCACUGCAGCCUCUGAGCUCCUGGGCUCAAGGGAUCCCCCUGCCUUAGCCUCUGAAGUAGCUGGGACUACAGGCAUGCACCACUGUGCCCAGCUAAUUUUUAAUUUUUUUGUAAAGAUAGGGUCUCAUUAUGUUUCCCAGGCUGGUCUCGAACUCCUGGCUUCAAGUGAUCCUCCCACCUUGGACUCCGAAAGUGCUGGGAUGUGCUCAAUAUUAAAUGUCAUGAAGAUACUGUUAAAAUAAUAAUUGUGCUCAAUAGUUGUAUCUUUAUACUAUUCUGAGCCUUAGGUUUCUUUUCUGUAAAACUGAACAAUACUACCUUCUUUGCAGGGGAUAGCAUAGUCCCUGGUUUACAGUAAAUGCUUUCCUCCAAUUGAAUCAAGAUAUACCUCUCUGCUACCUCCCCAUCUAUUAGAAAUGCUUGCCUUCUGGUACCAGAAAAAAAAAAAAAACACCUUCCACAUGACAACUCUGAAGACAAUAAUCACACUACCAUUGUGUUUUUCUGGAUGUGCCACACAUUGUAUACAUGUCCCUGCCUUACAAAUGACAUCUCCUAUACACAGAGUCCUUAAUAUUUCUACAUGCAAUGUAUAAUCAAUUAAAACAUCAGUAUCAUCUUAAUGUGAAUUUCUGUUAAUCCAAGUUCUCCCCCACUAUGCAAGUGCAAUAAAUAUUUAAAAAUGAAGGUAACAAUAUAUAUAUAUAUUUUUUUGAGACAGAGUCUCGCUCUGUUGUCCAGGCUGGAGUGCAGUGGCGUGAUCGCGGCUCACUGCAAGCUCCACCUCCCGAGUUCAUGCCAUUCUCCUGCAUCAGCCUCCUGAGUAGCUGGGACUACAGGUGCCCACCACCACUCCCAGCUAAUUUUUUGUAUUUUUAGUAGAGACAGGGUUUCACUGUGUUAGCCAGGAUGGUCUCCAUCUCCUGACCUUGUGAUACACCCCUCUCGGCCUCCCAAAGUGCUGGGAUUACAGGUGUGAGCCACCGUGCUUGGCCAACAAUAUAUAUUCUUAACUGUGUAAAUUUUAAUUUGUUGGUUUUAUUCUUUUGAGAUUAUUAUGAAUAUUGAUUCUGUCAUUCAUCGCUUAAGGACCAGGCAGGUGAACCACUUGACAUUUUUUAUCAUCAGAAUAAAUUGACAAAAACAAAACAAAAUACUUUGAGGUGGAAUGGAAGUAUCUUGAGUAGUAGUAAAACCAUAGUUCUAGAUGGUGAUAAUCAUUGUCAUAAUGAAAGCGUGUUGCUUGUUGACUAUUUAACCAUGCUGUUUAAGUCAUAUUAAAAACAUCAAUACGUCCCUCUCCCUCUCCCCUCUCCCCUCUCCCCUCUCCCCUCUCCCCUCUCCCCUCUCCCCCUUCCCACGGUCUCCUUCCACGGUCUCCCUCUGAUGCCGAGCCAAAGCUGGACGGUACUGCUGCCAUCUCGGCUCACUGCAACCUCCCUGCCUGAUUCUCCUGCCUCAGCCUGCCGAGUGCCUGCGAUUGCAGGCGCGCGCCGCCACGCCUGACUGGUUUUCGUUUUUUUUUUUUUUGGUGGAGACGGGGUUUUGCUGUGUUGGCCGGGCUGGUCUCCAGCUCCUAACCGCGAGUGAUCCGCCAGCCUCGGCCUCCCGAGGUGCCGGGAUUGCAGACGGAGUCUCGUUCACUCAGUGCUCAAUGGUGCCCAGGCUGGAGUGCAGUGGCGUGAUCUUGGCUCGCUACAACCUCCACCUCCCAGCCGCCUGCCUUGGCCCCCCAAAGUGCCGAGAUUGCAGCCUCUGCCCAGCCGCCACCCCGUCUGGGAAGUGAGGAGCGUCUCUGCCUGGCCCCCCAUCGUCUGGGAUAUGAGGAGCCUCUCUGCCUGGCUGCCCAGUCUGGAAAGUGAGGAGCGUCUCUGCCCGGCCGCCAUCCCAUCUAGGAAGCGAGGAGCGCCUCUUCCCCGCCGCCAUCCCAUCUAGGAAGUGAGGAGCGUCUCUGCCCGGCCGCCCAUCGUCUGAGAUGUGGGGAGCACCUCUGCCCCGCCGCCCUGUCUGGGAUGUGAGGAGCGCCUCUGCUGGGCCGCAACCCUGUCUGGGAGGUGAGGAGCGUCUCUGCCCGGCCUCCCCGUCUGAGAAGUGAGGAAACCCUCUGCCUGGCAACCGCCCCGUCUGAGAAGUGAGGAGCCCCUCCGUCCGGCAGCCACCCCGUCUGGGAAGUGAGGAGCGUCUCCGCCCGGCAGCCACCCCGACCGGGAGGGAGGUGGGGGGGGGGUCAGCCCCCCGCCCGGCCAGCCGCCCCGUCCGGGAGGUGAGGGGCUCCUCU
rnacentral:lncRNA from 1 species